CGAACGGGUGAGUAACGCGUGAGGAACCUGCCUCAAAGAGGGGACAACAGUUGGAAACGACUGCUAAUACCGCAUAAGCCCACAGGUCGGCAUCGACCAGAGGGAAAAGGAGCAAUCCGCUUUGAGAUGGCCUCGCGUCCGAUUAGCUAGUUGGUGAGGUAAUAGCCCACCAAGGCGACGAUCGGUAGCCGGACUGAGAGGUUGAACGGCCACAUUGGGACUGAGACACGGCCCAG
rnacentral:rRNA from 1 species